AUUGAACGCUGGCGGCAGGCCUAACACAUGCAAGUCGAACGAGUGGCGGACGGGUGAGUAAUGUCUGGGAAUCUGCCCGAUGGAGGGGGAUAACUACGGGAAACGGUAGCUAAUACCGCAUACCAUCGGAUGUGCCCAAGUGGGUUUAGGUAGUGUGGGGGGUAAAGGCUCACCAGGGCGACGAUCCCUAGCUGGUCUGAGAGGAUGACCAGCCACACUGGAAAUGAGCAACGGUCCAGACUCCUACGGGAGGCAGCAGUGGGGAAUAUUGCGCAAUGGGCGCAAGCCUGAUGCAGCCAUGCCGCGUGUAUGAAGAAGGCCUUCGGGUUGUAAAGUGCUUUCGGUGGGGAGGCGUUACUCGCAGAAGAAGCACCGGCUAACUCCGUGCCAGCAGCCGCGGUAAUUC
rnacentral:rRNA from 1 species